rnacentral:sRNA from 1 species
GUCCUGAAGAUAAAGGUGACUGAGUGCCC